GACGAACGCUGGCGGCGUGCUUAACACAUGCAAGUCGAACGAUGAAGCUGGAGCUUGCUCCGGUGGAUUAGUGGCGAACGGGUGAGUAACACGUGAGCAAUCUGCCCUUGACUCUGGGAUAACUGCGGGAAACUGUAGCUAAUACCGGAUACGAGGCUCGAAGGCAUAUUCGGGUCUGGAAAGAAUUUCGGUCAAGGAUGAGCUCGCGGCCGAUCAGAGUGUUGGUGAGGUAAUGGCUCACCAAGGCGACGACGGGUAGCCGGCCUGAGAGGGUGACCGGCCACACGGGGACUGAGACACGGCCCAGACUCCUACGGGAGGCAGCAGUGGGGAAUAUUGCACAAUGGGCGAAAGCCUGAUGCAGCAACGCCGCGUGAGGGAUGAAGGCCUUCGGGUUGUAAACCUCUUUUAGCAGGGAAGAAGCGAAAGUGACGGUACCUGCAGAAAAAGCACCGGCUAACUACGUGCCAGCCGCCGCCGUAA
rnacentral:rRNA from 1 species